rnacentral:ncRNA from 10 species
AUACUGAAAUACAUGGUGGGAAACAAUGUGGAAAUCAUUAACUGUUCCUGCAACGGUAAGAACAAGAGUUUAAGUCCGGGCACCGCCUAGUAUAGACCCCUGUUGAAUGAAGACCAGGAAAUGUCUAGUUCUACAAUGAAAAA